AGGAAACACCUGAAAGAGAAGCAACAGGGAACUAUUACUUGAAAUAAUGUCAUAGAAACUUCAAAGAGCUGACUCAGAGGGGCGCAGAGUACCAUAACUGGCAAAACACUCAGGCGUCGAAGUGCUGGCAGCCGCUCCUCAUGUUCUCCUAUAUGAUGAUGAGAUGAUAGAUCCCAGGUGCGCUGAAACCAGACAGCAGGCACGUCCUACAGGGAGAGUUUCAUCAGGUGUUACGGCAGCUUGAUGGAAUCGGACUCCGGUACCGUCAGUAGUGAGGCGAACGAGUUGGCGGUUCGUGUGUCGCUACGACUCGCUCAUCUGAGGCGACAUUGGUGGGGGAGAUUUGAGGUCAAGCAGCCUGAAAACGGCCUCACCUGAGCCGAUGGACACCGGAAGAGAGGAGACGCAGUGAGCUUCUCCUGCUGGGCAGAUCUGAGAAAAGAAAAUGAGGAUUUAACUCUACCCUCCUGAGCUGCUUUCUGACCCAGAUGAACUCCAUCCAUCCAUUCCUGGUUCCCUUCAUUCUUCCAUCCUGGUUCCCUCCCUCCAUCCAUUCUGUCUGUCCAUCCAUAAUGUCAAUAAUCAUCGAUAAUGUUAAGCAUAAGGUUAAGCAUUACCCUUGAUUAAAUAAAAAGGAAAAUCGGGGACAAUGUUAAAUAUCCUGGAUAUUAAGCUAAACAUUGGAGAUAAAGUAAGAAAUCCUGGAUGGCAUUAAACAACCACGAUAACACUGAAUGUUAAACAUCAGAUAUAACUACAACCAUUGACUAAAGUGUAACAUCGAGGACAAUGUUAAGCUUUGUGGAUAAACAUUAAUAAAUCAUGCAACUUUUUUUUCCGCAUGAUUUAUUAAUUUGAGUUCAAGUCUGCAAAUCUUGGCAACAAGAAUACCAAACAUCAGACUGCACCUUUGACACAUGAUCACUAAUAACAUAUCAAUAGAAACUAGUCCAUAAUAUUGAGCUGACACAGAUAAUGGAUGAAGGGAUUAAUUAAUUUUUGUUUUUGUGACAUUUGAUCUGGUCUGAAUUCAAAAUGCUUAAUUAUUUAUGUUUUUGACUUGAUUUGCUUAUGUUUUUUAUGAUUUUUUUGUAGGUUGUGGACAAAAGUAAUGAGACCUGAUUCAAGUUCAAUGCUGUCAUAAUGUAGCAUAAUUCUGACAACUGACAAUAAUUUGCAGAGACACUAAAAUUCAGAAAUAUAUAGCAAACCCAAGCUUGUGUUUGAGCACACGGACAAAUAAGUUUAGCCACAGUUCUACCCAUGGGAAAUGGGACAGGGGUUGGUGGCGAAAUAGGUUUACAGGCCAGACUCCAGUUAGGGUUCCAACAAUACACUGGCUUUGAGAAUGACGUGAAGCUGAGUAAGACCCAUCUGCUCCCUGCUGCUCUUUAGCCAUCGUUAAAUGGAUUAAACCUGCUACACACUGCUGUCAUGCAGCACGGUGUGCUAUGUGGUCCAGGCUGUGUCCAUAUGUAAGUGGUCACAGAGCAGUCUGCUGUGUUUCCACUCAGCCAGGUGUUACUGUCUGCUGUUCAACUUCUGCUCUCAACUUCCAUUGAGUUGAUUUAAUUUAAAAAAAGAGAGAGAGAGAGAGAUUUGUGCAGUCUCAGAAAAGGGACGUUAGGAACAAAGUUCUGCCGGAUGCUUCAAUACUAGUAGAUCUGUCAAAUAGCACAGACUUAAAGUGAUUUGAAACAUGAUUUGGUGACUUAGGACAAAAUUAAAAAUAUAUAUAUAUAUUUAACAUCCCUGUUUUUCCAAAGAUAAUCAAUAAAAUAUUAAUUUAAAAAAAGCAUUUUCGCAUAAUAUCCACAACUCACUUUUUAAAUGUCUUGAAUAUGAUAAGAAACAAUCUGUUUCCUGUUUAGAUGUUGGUUACUCUAAAGUUUUCUUUGGAUUUGAAGCAAGUUGUAAUGGAGCUUUCGUGUUAAAAAGAUCAUGUUUAUAAUGUCAAAGAUAUAAAGAUUAAUCAAAAACAGAUGGAGCAGUAUCUUGUAUAGUGAGGGAUCAAAUGUUUUGUCAAAUAAUUAACAACAGUGCACAGUUCUUUACUUGCUAGGUCAAUUUCAUGAGCCAUUUUAAAUAAAUAUAAAUAAUUUUGUUUUUACCUGUCUAGUCAGUCACAGCUUCCUGCUUUGUAUGUAAACUUCCAUAAAAAUAAAAAUCUUUGCAG